rnacentral:rRNA from 1 species
AUGAACGCUGGCGGCGUGCUUCACCCCUGCCCGUCGAACGAUGAAGCCCAGCUUGCUGGGUGGAUUAGUGGCGAACGGGUGAGUAACACGUGAGUAACCUGCCCUUGACUCUGGGAUAAGCCUGGGAAACUGGGUCUAAUACUGGAUAUGACUUCUCAUCGCAUGGUGGGGGGUGGAAAGAUUUAUUGGUCUUGGAUGGACUCGCGGCCUAUCAGCUUGUUGGUGAGGUAAUGGCUCACCAAGGCGACGACGGGUAGCCGGCCUGAGAGGGUGACCGGCCAAACUGGGACUGAGACACGGCCCAGACUCCUACGGGAGGCAGCAGUGGGGAAUAUUGCACAAUGGGCGCAAGCCUGAUGCAGCGACGCCGCGUGAGGGAUAACGGCCUUCGGGUUGUAAACCUCUUUCAGUAGGGAAGAAGCGAGAGUGACGGUACCUGCAGAAGAAGCGCCGGCUAACUACGUG